rnacentral:rRNA from 1 species
CCUACGGGAGUCAGCAGUGGGGAAUAUUGCACAAUGGGCGAAAGCCUGAUGCAGCAACGCCGCGUGAAGGAAGAAGGGUUUCGGCUCGUUAACUUCUAUCAACAGGGACGAAAGAAAUGACAGUACCUGAAUAAGAAGCCCCGGCUAACUACGUGCCAGCAGCCGCGGUAAUACGUAGGGGGCAAGCGUUAUCCGGAAUCACUUGGCGUAAAGGGCGCGUAGGCGGUAAUAUAAGUCAGAUGUGAAAGGUGGGGGCUCAACCCCUAGAGUGCAACUGAUACUGUAUAACUUGAGUGUGAGAGAGGGAAGCGGAAGUCCUAGUGUAGCGGUGAAAUGCGUAGAUAUUAGGAGGAACACCAGUGGCGAAGGCGGCUUUCUGGCUCAUAACUGACGCUGAGGCGCGAAAGCGUGGGGAGCAAACAGGAUUAGAUACCCGUGUAGUC